rnacentral:misc_RNA from 1 species
AACGCACAUUGCGCCCAUUGGUAUUCCGAUGGGCAUGCCUGUUCGAGCGUCAUUAUCCUCUCUCUAAGCUUCUGCUUGGGUGUUGGACCGAGUUGUGGCAACGCAACUGGUCUCAAAGACAAUGACGGCGUCCGUGGGACCCUCUUCGCAACGAGUCUUUCGAGGCACGCGGGGAGUUGCAAGGUCCCGUCGGGUCGGUCUAACCUUUAUAUUUUUCUCAGGUUGACCUCGGAUCAGGUAGGAAUACCCGCUGAACUUAA